UUCUACUCUGAGCGAGCGGAG
rnacentral:misc_RNA from 1 species